CCUACGGGGGGCAGCAGUGGGGAAUAUUGCGCAAUGGGCGAAAGCCUGACGCAGCGACGCCGCGUGAGGGAUGAAGGUCUUCGGAUCGUAAACCUCUGUCAGCAGGGAAGAACGGUCACUGUGCUAAUCAGCAGUGAAUUGACGGUACCUGCAAAGGAAGCACCGGCUAACCCCGUGCCAGCAGCCGCGGUAAUACGGAGGGUGCGAGCGUUAAUCGGAAUUACUGGGCGUAAAGCGCUCGUAGGCGGUAUGUCAAGUCAAGGGGGAAAUCCCCGCGCUCAACGUGGGAACUGCCUUUGAAACUGGCAAACUGGAGUGUGUGAGAGGAUAGUGGAAUUCCAGGUGUAGGAGUGAAAUCCGUAGAUAUCUGGAGGAACAUCAGUGGCGAAGGCGACUAUCUGGCACAUAACUGACGCUGAGGAGCGAAAGCGUGGGUAGCAAACAGGAUUAGAUACCCCGGUAGU
rnacentral:rRNA from 1 species